AUACGGAGGGGGCUAGCGUUGUUCGGAAUCACUGGGCGUAAAGCGCACGUAGGCGGACUGGUCAGUUGGGGGUGAAAUCCCAGGGCUUAACCCUGGAACUGCCUUCAAUACUACCAGUCUUGAGACCGAGAGAGGUGAGUGGAAUUCCUAGUGUAGAGGUGAAAUUCGUAGAUAUUAGGAAGAACACCAGUGGCGAAGGCGGCUCACUGGCUCGAUACUGACGCUGAGGCGCGAAAGCGUGGGGAGCAAACAGGAUUAGAAACCCCAGUAGUCC
rnacentral:rRNA from 1 species